CUGCAGGCCAGGCGGCCUCGCGCGGCAGGCCCAGGCCCAAGGGAAAAUGUAGGUUGCCCGAGGCAGAUGCACGAUUCCAAGUCACUUUGGCAGUUUUUAAUGUGGAGAAGGCUCUUUCUGCAGAGGGAACGUUGCGGAGCUGCUGGGAGUGUCUCAUAGGCUGUGGCGACCUGGGAAGCUGCUCUGCGGAGCCACCGGAGGCGCAGAUUUCAGCACAUCGAGAGCAGAUGAGCGGCUAGUCCCAAAACUGUCCGCGCUUCAGACAGAUGACUUUCGCAGAAGUUUGAGUGUGCUUGUAGAUGCAAAUCUAUCGUGAUUAUGUUUCCUCGGACGUUUCCUGUGCUUGUGGAGCUCAUAGGAGAGACUGAAGGUGAAUUCACGAUUGCACACAACUUACAACAUCUGUUUGUGGAUUCCAUCAGUGUAUCUUCAACUGUAAGAAAAAUUAAUUUCAAAACUUCUGCAUUAAUACCUGGAUACUCCAA
rnacentral:lncRNA from 1 species